rnacentral:misc_RNA from 1 species
GAUGAAGAACGUAGCGAAAUGCGAUACGUAAUGUGAAUUGCAGAAUUCAGUGAAUCAUCGAAUCUUUGAACGCACAUUGCGCCUGCCAGCACUCUGGCAGGCAUGCCUGUUCGAGCGUCAUUUCAACCAUCAAGCCCUAGGCUUGCGUUGGAGCCUUGCGGCUGCCGCAGGCCCCUAAAAGCAGUGGCGGGCUCGCUAUCACACCGAGUGCAGUAGAUUACUCUUCGCUCAGGGCGUGUGGCGGGUUCCAGCCGUGAAACCCACUACUUCUCAAGGUUGACCUCGGAUCAGGUAGGAAUACCCGCUGAACUUAAGCAUAUCAAUAAGCGGAGGA